UACGGGGGGAGGCAAGCGUUGUUCGGAUUUACUGGGCGUAAAGGGCGCGUAGGCGGUCAGCACAAGUCAGUUGUGAAAUCUCCGGGCUUAACUCGGAAAGGUCAACUGAUACUGUGCGACUAGAGUGCGGAAGGGGCAACUGGAAUUCUCGGUGUAGCGGUGAAAUGCGUAGAUAUCGAGAGGAACACCUGCGGCGAAGGCGGGUUGCUGGGCCGACACUGACGCUGAUGCGCGAAAAGCCAGGGGGAGCGAAUGGG
rnacentral:rRNA from 1 species